rnacentral:snoRNA from 1 species
GGAUGAUGAGUCUGGAGCCCCCCGAGUUGUGAGGAGAACUUGCGGGGCUGACC